rnacentral:rRNA from 1 species
GAUGAACGCUGGCGGCGUGCCUAACACAUGCAAGUCGAACGGAGUCCAGCCUUUAAGACCUUCGGGUCAAAGAGGGGAAGACUGAGUGGCGGACGGGUGAGUAACACGUGGGCAACCUGGCUCAUAGAGGGGGAUAACAGAGAGAAAUUUCUGCUAAUACCGCAUAAGCACACACUGCCGCAUGGCAGAGGGUGAAAAGAGAAUCGCUAUGAGAUGGACCCGCGUCUGAUUAGCCAGUUGGCAGGGUAAGAGCCUACCAAAGCGACGAUCAGUAGCCGAUCUGAGAGGAUGAACGGCCACAUUGGGACUGAGACACGGCCCAAACUCCUACGGGAGGCAGCAGUGGGGGAUAUUGCACAAUGGGGGGAACCCUGAUGCAGCGACGCCGCGUGAGUGAAGAAGUAGUUCGGUAUGUAAAGCUCUAUCAGAAGGGAAGAUAAUGACAGUACCUGAAUAAGAAGCCCCGGCUAACUACGUG